GAUGAACGCUGGCGGCGUGCCUAAUACAUGCAAGUCGAGCGAACGGACGAGAAGCUUGCUUCUCUGAUGUUAGCGGCGGACGGGUGAGUAACACGUGGAUAACCUACCUAUAAGACUGGGAUAACUUCGGGAAACCGGAGCUAAUACCGGAUAAUAUUUUGAACCGCAUGGUUCAAAAGUGAAAGACGGUCUUGCUGUCACUUAUAGAUGGAUCCGCGCUGCAUUAGCUAGUUGGUAAGGUAACGGCUUACCAAGGCAACGAUGCAUAGCCGACCUGAGAGGGUGAUCGGCCACACUGGAACUGAGACACGGUCCAGACUCCUACGGGAGGCAGCAGUAGGGAAUCUUCCGCAAUGGGCGAAAGCCUGACGGAGCAACGCCGCGUGAGUGAUGAAGGUCUUCGGAUCGUAAAACUCUGUUAUUAGGGAAGAACAUAUGUGUAAGUAACUGUGCACAUCUUGACGGUACCUAAUCAGAAAGCCACGGCUAACUACGUGCCAGCAGCCGCGGUAAUACGUAGGUGGCAAGCGUUAUCCGGAAUUAUUGGGCGUAAAGCGCGCGUAGGCGGUUUUUUAAGUCUGAUGUGAAAGCCCACGGCUCAACCGUGGAGGGUCAUUGGAAACUGGAAAACUUGAGUGCAGAAGAGGAAAGUGGAAUUCCAUGUGUAGCGGUGAAAUGCGCAGAGAUAUGGAGGAACACCAGUGGCGAAGGCGACUUUCUGGUCUGUAACUGACGCUGAUGUGCGAAAGCGUGGGGAUCAAACAGGAUUAGAUACCCUGGUAGUCCACGCCGUAAACGAUGAGUGCUAAGUGUUAGGGGGUUUCCGCCCCUUAGUGCUGCAGCUAACGCAUUAAGCACUCCGCCUGGGGAGUACGACCGCAAGGUUGAAACUCAAAGGAAUUGACGGGGACCCGCACAAGCGGUGGAGCAUGUGGUUUAAUUCGAAGCAACGCGAAGAACCUUACCAAAUCUUGACAUCCUUUGACAACUCUAGAGAUAGAGCUUUCCCCUUCGGGGGACAAAGUGACAGGUGGUGCAUGGUUGUCGUCAGCUCGUGUCGUGAGAUGUUGGGUUAAGUCCCGCAACGAGCGCAACCCUUAAGCUUAGUUGCCAUCAUUAAGUUGGGCACUCUAAGUUGACUGCCGGUGACAAACCGGAGGAAGGUGGGGAUGACGUCAAAUCAUCAUGCCCCUUAUGAUUUGGGCUACACACGUGCUACAAUGGACAAUACAAAGGGCAGCGAAACCGCGAGGUCAAGCAAAUCCCAUAAAGUUGUUCACAGUUCGGAUUGUAGUCUGCAACUCGACUACAUGAAGCUGGAAUCGCUAGUAAUCGUAGAUCAGCAUGCUACGGUGAAUACGUUCCCGGGUCU
rnacentral:rRNA from 1 species